rnacentral:rRNA from 1 species
UACGUAGAAGACUAGUGUUAUUCAUCUUUAGUAGGUUUAAAGGGUACCUAGACGGUAUGAUUAGUCUUAAACAGGAUACGAUUAUACUAGAGUUAUAUAUGAGAAGGGGGAGUAUUUAUGGAGUAGAGUUGAAAUUCUUUGAUCCCAUGACGACUGGUAACGGCGAAAGCAACCUUUUAUCUAAUAACUGACGUUGAGGGACGAAGGCUCGGUCACGAA